rnacentral:rRNA from 1 species
UAAGCCAUGCAUGUCUGAGUACCUGCCGACCUAAGGCGAAACCGCGAAUGGCUCAUUAAAUCAGUCAUGAUUCAUUGGAUGUUGUAAAAUCCUUACUCGGAUAACUGUGGUAAUUCUAGAGCUAAUACGUGCAACUAAGCUCCGACCCCGGUCGGGGUACCGGCUUCACCGCCGCGUAUUCUCGGUCGGGGGAAGGGCGCAUUUGUUAGACCAAAAACCGGGUGGAAAGUAGGGUGGGGGCGUUUUCACUAACGUCGCCCGUUCCCAAAAUCCCCCAAUACGGUUAUGUGGUGACUCUGAAUAACUACAGCCGAGCGCUGAGGUCUUUGUACCGGCGCCGUAUCCUUCGAGUGUCUGCCUUAUCAGCUCUCGAUUGUAGGUUAUUCGCCUACAAUGGCUGUAACGGGUAACGGGGAAUCAGGGUUCGAUUCCGGAGAGGGAGCCUGAGAAACGGCUACCACAUCCAAG